UACGAAGGGGGCUAGCGUUGCUCGGAAUUACUGGGCGUAAAGGGCGCGUAGGCGGUUCUAUAAGUCAGGCGUGAAAUUCCUGGGCUUAACCUGGGGGCUGCGCUUGAGACUGUGGGACUUGAGGUCAGAAGAGGGUCGUGGAAUUCCCAGUGUAGAGGUGAAAUGCGUAGAUAUCGGGAGGAACACCAGUGGCGAAGGCGACUUCCUGGCCUGUUCUUGACGCUGAGGCGCGAAAGCUAGGGUAGCAAACGGG
rnacentral:rRNA from 1 species